rnacentral:rRNA from 1 species
ACGAACGCUGGCGGCGUGCUUAACACAUGCAAGUCGAACGGAAAGGCCCUGCUUUUGUGGGGUGCUCGAGUGGCGAACGGGUGAGUAACACGUGAGUAACCUGCCCUUGACUUUGGGAUAACUUCAGGAAACUGAGGCUAAUACCGGAUAGGAGCUCCUGCUGCAUGGUGGGGGUUGGAAAGUUUCGGCGAUUGGGGAUGGACUCGCGGCUUAUCAGCUUGUUGGUGGGGUAGUGGCUUACCAAGGCUUUGACGGGUAGCCGGCCUGAGAGGGUGACCGGCCACAUUGGGACUGAGAUACGGCCCAGACUCCUACGGGAGGCAGCAGUGGGGAAUAUUGCACAAUGGGCGGAAGCCUGAUGCAGCAACGCCGCGUGCGGGAUGACGGCCUUCGGGUUGUAAACCGCUUUCGCCUGUGACGAAGCGUGAGUGACGGUAAUGGGUAAAGAAGCACCGGCUAACUACGUG